rnacentral:rRNA from 1 species
AAUACCGCAUAAGCGCACAGGAUUGCAUGAUCCCGUGUGAAAAACUCCGGUGGUAUGAGAUGGACCCGCGUCUGAUUAGCUGGUUGGUGGGGUAACGGCCUACCAAGGCGACGAUCAGUAGCCGACCUGAGAGGGUGACCGGCCACAUUGGGACUGAGACACGGCCCAAACUCCUACGGGAGGCAGCAGUGGGGAAUAUUGCACAAUGGGGGAAACCCUGAUGCAGCAACGCCGCGUGAGUGAAGAAGUAUUUCGGUAUGUAAAGCUCUAUCAGCAGGGAAGAAAAUGACGGUACCUGAGUAAGAAGCCCCGGCUAACUACGUGCCAGCAGCCGCGGUAAUACGUAGGGGGCAAGCGUUAUCCGGAUUUACUGGGUGUAAAGGGAGCGUAGACGGCGAUGCAAGUCUGAAGUGAAAGCCCGGGGCUCAACCCCGGGACUGCUUUGGAAACUGUAUGGCUGGAGUGCUGGAGAGGCAAGCGGAAUUCCUAGUGUAGCGGUGAAAUGCGUAGAUAUUAGGAAGAACACCAGUGGCGAAGGCGGCUUGCUGGACAGUAACUGACGUUGAGGCUCGAAAGCGUGGGGAGCAAACAGGAUUAGAUACCCUGGUAGUCCACGCUGUAAACGAUGAAUGCUAGGUGUUGGGGAGCAAAGCUUCUCGGUGCCGCCGC